UAUUUUUAUCCCAUGCUUGAUGGAUCGGUGCACGGCUUCACUGCUGCCAGAUGAUUUUCCACCGGUUCCAUCACAUAGCAAUUUAAGGGCGCGGAGCAAUCACACUCCAGAGAUGCGGUGAAGGAAGAGACAUCGGGCAACAGGAUGAAACUGAAUUGGAGAAGAGAUCCAAAUGCCAAGGAGGAGAGCGGACACACGAGCGGGUCCCGCUGAGCCCGCGGGCAGGCAGACGCUGGAAGAACACAGCUGCGCCAUUUGGGAGAAAAUGAUCCGAAUCGGGCUGCGAGCCACCAGGAGGGAGAGUCCCGUGGGGCUGAGCGAGGCACGGCACAGGGUCUGCCACAUCUGACAUUUUCGGAGCAAAAUAUUGAUGGAAAAUCCUUGCCCAGACCAAAAUCCAGCCUCUGCCCCGCGUCGGAGGUGCAGGACAUGGGUGAGCACCACCGUGGCAUCCCCUCUCCCCCCGAGGUUCCACAUCCUCAUUUCCCGGGCGCGGAUAAGAUGUUUGCACCACGGACGGCAUCUUCUGUCAGCAUGAAAUCCCUCUCGUUGUUGGAGUGUGGAAAAUGGAAGAAUGCUUUGUAAUCUGGUUACACGUAGCCUGCACAUCUCAGGUCUCAUACAUUUUUGUAGCUGCUGAUAGAAAUGGGUCGAAUCCUUGCCUGUAUCGGAGGGUUAGGAGGCCGGGGAUGUUUACACCCUCUCCUUUCUCCAGGAGUGAUGUGUCUGUGGGGCAGAGGACAAGGAUAGGUGCCCCCUGAAUGCUGGUGUAGCCCAGGGGGGCUGCAGAAGAGCUGUCCCCAUCAGUGUCACACUUUUUGGCCUCCCAGCACAUUUUGUGUGUGGCCUGGGAGGGGACGGGAGGGAUGUGCCAGUUCUGCAAUGCUGCUGGUGGAAAGUUAGCCCAGGAGAAGUGACCAGGCACCUGGUCACACCAAGUGCCCCCACUGAGCU